rnacentral:rRNA from 1 species
UACGGGGGCUCCAAGUGUUAUCCGGUUUUAUUGGGCGUAAAGAGUUCUGUAGGCGGUCAUAUAAGUUGUGGGUCAAAAUCUUCGGCUCAACCGGAGGCAGGCUUGCAAUACUGUAUGACUAGAGUAAGACAGGGGAAGAUGGAACGUAUGGUGUAGUAGUGAAAUACGUUGAUAUCAUACGGAACACCGAAGGCGUAGGCAGUCUUCUGGGUCUUUACUGACGCUGAGAGACGAAAGCGUGGGGAGCAAAACGG